rnacentral:miRNA from 1 species
UUGAUUGUGGGGGGAGGGCUCU